UACAGAGGGUGCAAGCGUUGUUCGGAAUCAUUGGGCGUAAAGGGCGUGUAGGCGGUUCGAUAAGUCUGCUGUGAAAGUCCAGGGCUCAACCCUGGGAUGCCGGUGGAUACUGUCGGGCUAGAGUACGGAAGAGGCGAGUGGAAUUCCCGGUGUAGCGGUGAAAUGCGCAGAUAUCAGGAGGAACACCGGUGGCGAAGGCGCCGCUCUGGGCCGAAAACUGACGCUGAGGAGCGAAAGCGUGGGGAGCGAACAGG
rnacentral:rRNA from 1 species